rnacentral:rRNA from 1 species
CCAGACUCCUACGGGAGGCAGCAGUGGGGAAUAUUGGACAAUGGGCGCAACUGAUCCAGCAAUGCCGCGUGUGUGAAGAAGGCCUGCGGGUUGUAAAGCACUUUAAGCAGGGAGGACGGGAAGCGGGGCUAAUACCCUUGCCUCUUGACGUUACCUGCAGAAUAAGCACCGGCUAACUUCGUGCCAGCAGCCGCGGUAAUACGAAGGGUGCAAGCDUUAAUCGGAAUUACUGGGCGUAAAGCGCGUGUAGGCGGUUGGCUAAGUCAGAUGUGAAAGCCCCGGGCUCAACCUGGGAAUUGCAUUUGAUACUGGCCGGCUAGAAUGUGGUAGAGGGAGGCGGAAUUCCCGGUGUAGCGGUGAAAUGCGUAGAUAUCGGGAAGAACACCAAUGGCGAAGGCAGCCU